GCGGUUGGCUUGCUGAGCACCAUGAGCUGGAUCCACUGGGAGACGCUGUUGAAAAGCGUGAUGAAACGCUCCAGGAUGGGGUUAUCCACUGUGCAGCCGUGCAUCACGAAGCUGUGGUAGUCCUGAAACUAAAAGGAGUUACGACUCGAUCUGGUGGUGAAAUAGGAGAUAAAGGAAGUCACUGGAUAUUUUUGCUUCGUUGCUGAUAAGAAAGAGUUUGAAGGGUCCCAUGCUCUGGGUGAGGAGGUGAUGACAGUUUGUGGAGUUGAGCACCGAGAUGAGAAGCGUUACAUCACCAGCACCAGCACCAGCAGCAGCAUCGAUGAUCGAAACCCAAGAAGUC